GGCUUAUAAUUGAAGUCUGGCAUGAAUGAAUAAUGGGGAAUUACUGUCUUUUUGGGUUUUCAAGAACUUACUUAACAAGUGAAAAUACUUGUAAAUAAAUAAUAGACGAGAAGACCCUAGAAAUUUUUUUAAUAUUGGUUUUAUAUCUAAUUAAUUUUGCUGGGGCGGCAGAAUAACAUUAAACUUAUUUUAAUAAAUUUGAACUAUCUACUGAGUAAAAGUAAAUUACUCUAGGGAUAACAGCAUAAUUUUACAAAGUUUGUGACCUCGAUGUUGGACUAGGGACUUUAGUGUUUAGAAGAUACUAAAUCAGGCUCUGU
rnacentral:rRNA from 1 species